GACGAACGCUGGCGGCGUGCCUAAUACAUGCAAGUCGAGCGAAUGGAUGGGAGCUUGCUCCCUGAAGUUAGCGGCGGACGGGUGAGUAACACGUGGGCAACCUGCCUGUAAGACUGGGAUAACUUCGGGAAACCGGAGCUAAUACCGGAUACAUUCUUUCUUCGCCUGAAGAAAGAUGGAAAGAUGGUUUCGGCUAUCACUUACAGAUGGGCCCGCGGCGCAUUAGCUAGUUGGUGAGGUAACGGCUCACCAAGGCAACGAUGCGUAGCCGACCUGAGCGGGUGAUCGGCCACACUGGGACUGAGACACGGCCAGACUCCUACGGGAGGCAGCAGUAGGGAAUCUUCCGCAAUGGACGAAAGUCUGACGGAGCAACGCCGCGUGAGCGAAGAAGGCCUUCGGGUCGUAAAGCUCUGUUGUUAGGGAAGAACAAGUACCAGAGUAACUGCUGGUACCUUGACGGUACCUAACCAGAAAGCCACGGCUAACUACGUGCCAGCCGCCGCUGUAACAC
rnacentral:rRNA from 1 species